GAGUGGCGAACGGGUGAGUAACACGUGGGUAACCUACCUCUUAGCAGGGGAUAACAUUUGGAAACAAGUGCUAAUACCGUAUAACACUAACAACCGCAUGGUUGUUAGUUGAAAGAUGGUUCUGCUAUCACUAAGAGAUGGACCCGCGGUGCAUUAGCUAGUUGGUAAGGUAAUGGCUUACCAAGGCGAUGAUGCGUAGCCGAGUUGAGAGACUGAUCGGCCACAAUGGGACUGAGACACGGCCCAUACUCCUACGGGAGGCAGCAGUAGGGAAUCUUCCACAAUGGGCGCAAGCCUGAUGGAGCAACGCCGCGUGUGUGAUGAAGGGUUUCGGCUCGUAAAACACUGUUAUAAGAGAAGAACGACAUUGAGAGUAACUGUUCAGUGUGUGACGGUAUCUUAUCAGAAAGGAACGGCUAAAUACGUGCCAGCAGCCGCGGUAAUACGUAUGUUCCAAGCGUUAUCCGGAUUUAUUGGGCGUAAAGCGAGCGCAGACGGUUAUUUAAGUCUGAAGUGAAAGCCCUCAGCUCAACUGAGGAAGGGCUUUGGAAACUGGAUAACUAGAGUGCAGUAGAGGAAAGUGGAACUCCAUGUGUAGCGGUGAAAUGCGUAGAUAUAUGGAAGAACACCGGUGGCGAAAGCGGCUUUCUGGACUGUAACUGACGUUGAGGCUCGAAAGUGUGGGUAGCAAACAGGAUU
rnacentral:rRNA from 1 species